ensembl:ncRNA asRNA:CR45145 antisense RNA:CR45145
GUGAAGUUUUCGGCUCAGUAUUGAAAGGAGCCAGUGGCGUUGUGGGCCGCUCAUGUGGUUUGGACGGAAUAGCCGGCACAUACUUGUGAGCAUCCUCUGCUGUCUUUACUGCCUGGUUGACCUCGACAAGAAUCCUUUUAGAGGAUUCCACUGCCCGUUGAAUGGCUUCCGCCUCGGUGGUGUUUUCUGGCAGCAAGCGCACGGUCACCUUGUAAAGGUUCUCAAACAAAAGCGGAUACUUGGUGAGGCGCUGCAGCACGGUGGGCAGCAAGUCCUUUAGCUCGAGGCGGCGACAUGCCUUGUGUGACUCCGACUUUUUCAAUAGCUUUUGCAGCAUCUCGUCCUUGUUGCGCUUCUCCUUGAGUGCCUCCAAGGCGAUUUGCUGGCGGGCACAGAACUGAGCCGCAAACUCGCAAAGAACAACUCCAGACUGACCAUCGAACAUGUCGGCGAGCAGAUCCCCUAUGGUGUUCACCACGUGGUUAUGCUCGAUGCGUCGUUGCUUAAGACUCUGCUCGAAGGCGCCAUGAAUCUCACGGAGCGACAGCAAGGCGGGCGGGAACAACAACAGCAAAUGAUCCUGGGACAGCAAUCCACUCUCGUAGAGUGGCAGGAAGAAUAAUCGAUCCAGCAGCUUUAGGGUGCGCACAUGGUUGCGUUCAGUUUGAUAGAUUUCUUGAAAUAAUUAAGCAGAAAGCAUACAUACAGUAUUGUUAUAUUAAAUAGAGAUGUAAGGAUUAAUUUACCAUUUAUAAUCUCCUGACGCUUCUUCUCAGCGUCCGUUAAGGCUGCCAACACCUCUGCGGCCACCAUGGAACUCCAGUCCGCCUCGUUCACGUCGUCUUCAUCCUCGCUCUCCAGCGUCCAACGAGCUACAGGCAAUGGGUGGCCAGCAUUCCAGAAACUAGAGUUGCUAGCUGCACUGCUCCCAGCGGCCCCUGCCAAACCCGCCUGAAAGGAAUCCUGCUGGCAGUACUGCUGGGCGUGCUGCUGGAUGAGCAGAUGGGGGUGCUGGUUCUGGUUCAAUCCCAUUGGCGGCACCUGGACGCCACCCGCUGCUCCGGGUGCAGCAAAGUGCUCCAUUGACGUGCUGGGACUCUCGCUGCCGCCAGCUGAAGAGAGACUAGAAUUCGAACUGCCCACAUAAGUGGCAUUCGAUAGACCCAAGUCCAGUUGUUCAUCACUGCGUUGAAAGAUAAAAAAAGUAAACAAUAUUGAAUGUGUUCGUUAAGGUAUCAUAAAACAAAUGUGCUCCGAGAAAGAAAAAGAUAUACAAGUCUAGUGCAAAUGCGAUUAUGUAAGCUUAAAAAAAAAAUAAAUAAAUUCAAAAAAAUGCUGGUCAAUAAAAUUAGCAGUUGUAUAUUUUGAUCAUUUCG